AUGAGAGAGCUUAUCCAGAUUGUGGAACAAUGGGGCCGCUGGAUGCGGAAUGCGGUGAGAAUCCGCAGCGGUCCCGCCACUGUGUACCCCAUGGGGUAAGCCAGGCCAUCGAUCCAGCCAACUGCGACGU
rnacentral:ncRNA from 2 species